UACGUAGGGGGCAAGCGUUGUCCGGAUUUAUUGGGCGUAAAGAGCGUGUAGGCGGCUUUACAGGUCCGUUGUGAAAACUCGAGGCUCAACCUCGAGACGCCGGUGGAAACCGUAAAGCUAGAGUCCGGAAGAGGAGAGUGGAAUUCCUGGUGUAGCGGUGAAAUGCGCAGAUAUCAGGAAGAACACCCGUGGCGAAGGCGGCUCUCUGGGACGGUACUGACGCUGAGGAGCGAAAGCGUGGGGAGCGAACAGG
rnacentral:rRNA from 1 species